rnacentral:ncRNA from 2 species
AUGACGAUGAGGUGUUCCGGCCCGCACCCGCCAUAUUCUGCAUCGGCGGACGGCCGGACAAGAGGGAAUCCCGUUAAAUCGGGAGCUGCCCCGCAACUGUAAGCGGCUUUUGAAAUUCGCGCUGUUGGAAGCAUCCAAACAGAAGGCGAAGAGUAAGCGAGCCGCGAGCCAGGAGACCUGCCCCAUCGCAAAGAGGUGU